GCGGCGCAGCGUGGGUUCUGCUCCUUCUCCCCGGCCAACUCUGGUCGCCGUCCGAGCUCUAGCCGGAGGAGGAGUCCCGGAUAAAUCCGUGGAGAUAGCUCACUCAGUAGUACGCCAGGCGCUCAAACACAUGCCCUCAGCGACGUUGUCAUCAGGUCUCAUAUAUCUAAGAUAUACAUGUCUAAUAGUCUACUAGGAAGCAUGGCAGCCUGCCAACAUGUGGUGGUGACGUAGCACAAGUGACCGGCUGGACCAUGCUCCACCGGCUGCCACCCAUGCGUAGGUGCACGAGGGAGUUGAAGCCUGAGAUAGAGAGGUUUAGAGGGAGGAGAUGAGCGGCUGGCG